rnacentral:rRNA from 1 species
GUCGGUUCGGCCGGAUUUUACACAAGUGUUGCAUGGCUGUCGUCAGCUCGUGUCGUGAGAUGUUGGGUUAAGUCCCGCAACGAGCGCAACCCUCAUCCUUAGUUGCCAUCAGGUAAUGCUGAGUACUUUAAGGAAACUGCCAGUGAUAAGCUGGAGGAAGGUGGGGAUGAUGUCAAGUCAUCAUGGCCUUUAUGGAGUGGGCUACACACGUGCUACAAUGGUGUCUACAAUGGGCUGCAAGGUGCGCAAGCCUAAGCUAAUCCCUAAAAGACAUCUCAGUUCGGAUUGUACUCUGCAACUCGAGUACAUGAAGUUGGAAUCGCUAGUAAUCGUGGAUCAGCAUGCCACGGUGAAUACGUUCUCGGGUCUUGUACACACUGCCCGUCACGCCAUGG